UAUAAUCAACUGCGAGAUAGCAUUUAAGAAAAACACUUAAGAUGGCAAUUAAAAGGAGUGCUAAGUAAAUACAAGUCAGAAAACAAGAGUUAAUUAAACUCUGUGAAUUAUUUGUGUGACCCAUAAAGAUAUAGACAAAUUCGAUAAGUAUACACAGACUAAGAUUUUUUGCCUUUCGGAAUACCUGCCGCUAUUGCUUGCGAAAUCUAAAAACAAGCCCUUUAAGAGGCGUGGACUUGCGCAUUCGUAAAGCUCCACAAUUGGAUGGCAUAUUGAAGCCCGGAUAAUUUUAUAACAAUCAAGCAAUAAGAUCCAAAGUCAUCGCAAAAGGGAGCAUCAGAUCGGAUCGCGGCCAAUAUUGCUUAGACUUCUAGAACUUGUAAUACUGAUUCAGCGAAAGUAGCAUCAAGUAUAGAGCUGUGCUGAGUCAUACGCAUUGUGCAUUAGUUAAAACCAGUUCUCAUUAGGGCUCAGCUGAUGAACAAUUGUGGUUUGCCUUUUGGUGCUGGAAAUAGUUAAGAUUAGACCUUAGAAAAUAACAUUUAUAUGUUGAUAAUUUCUUAUUAUUUCUCGGAUCACGGACUUAUCGUAUGCUCCCCUGAUGGAUACGCAAUUAUUUUAAGCUGUGGACUAGGGUCUGGUUAUUGAGCUGGCGGUUUAUCAACGUGUUAUUGAUAAUUACUAGUUACUUAAAAGUCAUAUCUUUGGAGCUAGAGUCAUGAACCUGUCUUGCUCUAGGAUAUUCUGGCGGCAUCGUGUGUAUUAUUCUUAUUGCAUGCUAUUAACUUACAUCAAAUGCUAAAAAAAAGCUUAAAAAAAAAAAGCUAGCCGACCCUUCCGGCAAGAAUGCAAGCAGGUCGAAGCUGGGUAACCCAAGCUACAUACGAAGCAAGAGAUCACUAGUCGAUAAUACCCGAUCUAUAUGGAAACACAGUUACACGUUAAACAAGCACCCGAAAACACAAACCAAGCAAAGGGAAGCCGGGCAGGAAAACUAAAGUAUUCGCUUUAUGGGAUAUACAGAAGCCGUCUUAACGAAAUUGGUGUCACGCGCUCUAAUUAUCGCCGAGCUCAGCUAUCGAUAUUUAUCGAUUUUAAUGAGAGUAUGGACUGUCAGCAAUAAAGUGUAGACUGAAUAGAUUUAAACAACAUUGGAUUUUCUUCGGUGCGAGCGAAAUUCGUUUGCAGUGCCCCAAGACACAUGACAUCAUUUGGAGUCAGGCGGAAACUGGAACAUGACUUUGGCUCUGGCUCUGGCUCCGGCUCUCAGCAUUGGCCUCUUUAUCUCAGCAUUUAGUGCUCCGCCUUCUUCUUCUUCUUCCGUCUCUCUAUGUGCCAAAUCGCUGAUAAAACCCAAAACCGAAACAGUGAAUAAAAAUGAAACGAAAAUAGUCGCAAGGCAAAAAGAUAGCGAAAGAGGCAUCAAACACGUGGCUUCGACUGUCGCAGCUUCACACAAAUGAGCGAGAAGAAUGUGAGGCAAGACAUCAAAUUAAUUAUUAUUAUUUUUUACAUUUAAAGCUUCGAAAAAU